CCUACGGGGGGCAGCAGUGAGGAAUAUUGGUCAAUGGACGAGAGUCUGAACCAGCCAAGUAGCGUGAAGGAUGACUGCCCUAUGGGUUGUAAACUUCUUUUAUAUGGGAAUAAAAUGUUCCACGUGUGGGAUUUUGUAUGUACCAUAUGAAUAAGGAUCGGCUAACUCCGUGCCAGCAGCCGCGGUAAUACGGAGGAUCCGAGCGUUAUCCGGAUUUAUUGGGGUUAAAGGGAGAGUAGGUGGAUUGUUAAGUCAGUUGUGAAAGUUUGCGGCUCAACCGUAAAAUUGCAGUUGAAACUGGCAGUCUUGAGUACAGUAGAGGUGGGCGGAAUUCGUGGUGUAGCGGUGAAAUGCGUAGAUAUCACGAAGAACUCCGAUUGCGAAGGCAGUUCACUGGACUGCAACUGACACUGAGGCUCGAAAGUGUGGGUAUCAAACAGGAGUAGAUACCCCAGUAGUC
rnacentral:rRNA from 1 species